AGUUGGAUCAGUUAGAAAAAAUAUAGCAACCAGAGUCAGACCAGUCUGAAGAUCUGACCCGAGAUUGCAAGCUACUACCAC